AAUAUAACUUGCUUUUGAAGAUCAGCGGCGGACGGGUGAGUAACACGUGGGCAACCUGCCUGUAAGACUGGGAUAACUUCGGGAAACCGGAGCUAAUACCGGAUAAUCCUUUCCCUCACAUGAGGGAAAGCUGAAAGACGGUUUCGGCUGUCACUUACAGAUGGGCCCGCGGCGCAUUAGCUAGUUGGUGAGGUAACGGCUCACCAAGGCAACGAUGCGUAGCCGACCUGAGAGGGUGAUCGGCCACACUGGGACUGAGACACGGCCCAGACUCCUACGGGAGGCAGCAGUAGGGAAUCUUCCGCAAUGGACGAAAGUCUGACGGAGCAACGCCGCGUGAGCGAUGAAGGCCUUCGGGUCGUAAAGCUCUGUUGUCAGGGAAGAACAAGUACCGGAGUAACUGCCGGUACCUUGACGGUACCUGACCAGAAAGCCACGGCUAACUACGUGCCAGCAGCCGCGGUAAUACGUAGGUGGCAAGCGUUGUCCGGAAUUAUUGGGCGUAAAGCGCGCGCAGGCGGUUCCUUAAGUCUGAUGUGAAAGCCCCCGGCUCAACCGGGGAGGGUCAUUGGAAACUGGGGAACUUGAGUGCAGAAGAGGAGAGCGGAAUUCCACGUGUAGCGGUGAAAUGCGUAGAGAUGUGGAGGAACACCAGUGGCGAAGGCGGCUCUCUGGUCUGUAACUGACGCUGAGGCGCGAAAGCGUGGGGAGCGAACAGGAUUAGAUACCCUGGUAGUCCACGCCGUAACGAUGAGUGCUAAGUGUUAGAGGGUUUCCGCCCUUUAGUGCUGCAGCAAACGCAUUAAGCACUCCGCCUGGGGAGUACGGCCGCAAGGCUGAAACUCAAAGGAAUUGACGGGGGCCCGCACAAGCGGUGGAGCAUGUGGUUUAAUUCGAAGCAACGCGAAGAACCUUACCAGUCUUGACAUCCUCUGACAACCCUAGAGAUAGGGCUUUCCCCUUCGGGGGGACAGAGUGACAGGUGGUGCAUGGUUUGUCGUCAGCUCGUGUCGUGAGAUGUUUGGGUUAAGUCCCGCAACGAGCGCAACCCUGGAUCUUAGUUGGCCCAGCAUUAAGUCGGCAACUCUAAGUUGACCUGACCGGUUGGAAACAAAUCG
rnacentral:rRNA from 2 species